ensembl:lncRNA
CAAGUGAUGGCGACGGCUUCAUGAGGUGGGAAUUAGGCUGCUAUGCAAUAGACCAUAAGAGUGCCUUCAGUAUCUCAAUACAAUUGAUUUUAUUUUGUGUGUAUUAAAAGGUCCAUCCCGACACCGGCAUCUCCAGUAGGGCAAUGAGCGUGACGAAUUCCUUUGGCUGCAACCUGGUCUUAGAGCAUUACGUUUUAUUCUUACAACAAGCGCUCAACCAUCACCUGCUGAGAGGUACAGACCACAGUCCGACUUCCUAGAGCUGGCCAAGCACGCCGUGUCGAUGGGACCAACGUCGUCACCAAAUGCAACAGUUUUAAAGUGUAAAAGAAACUAAAGUACAUCAAGCGCCACAAAAACACAAUUUAGGCUAUACAACAUGCAGGUUUGCAACCAGGGAUGCACCACUGACUAAUAUUGAGGUUGACUCAUCUCUUUGCCACCAUGGCCUAUUUAUUGCCUGUAUAUAGACUUUUUCUACUGUAUUAUUGACCGUAUGUUUGUUUAUUCCAUGUGUAGCUCUAUGUUGUAUGUGUCAAACUGCAUUGCUUUAUCUUGGCCAGGUCGCAGUCGUAAAUGAGGAUUUUUUUCUUAACUAGCCCACCUGGUUAAAGGUGAAAUAAAAAAA